GGCCCUACGGGGCGCAGCAGGCGCGAAAACUUUACAAUGCGGGAAACCGUGAUAAGGGGACACCGAGUGCCAGCAUCAUAUGCUGGCUGUCCGGGUGUGUAAAAUACACCUGUUAGCAAGGGCCGGGCAAGACCGGUGCCAGCCGCCGCGGUAACACCGGCGGCCCGAGUGGUGAUCGUGAUUAUUGGGUCUAAAGGGUCCGUAGCCGGUUUGGUCAGUCCUCCGGGAAAUCUGACGGCUUAACCGUUAGGCUUUCGGAGGAUACUGCCAGGC
rnacentral:rRNA from 1 species